rnacentral:rRNA from 1 species
GAUGAACGCUGGCGGCGUGCCUAAUACAUGCAAGUCGAACGAAACUUCUUUAUCACCGAGUGCUUGCACUCACCGAUAAAGAGUUGAGUGGCGAACGGGUGAGUAACACGUUGGCAACCUGCCCAAAAGAGGGGGAUAACACUCUGAAACAGGUGCUAAUACCUCAUAACCAUAGUUACCGCAUGGGAACUUUGUAAAAUGUGUGUAUACUACCGCUUUUGGAUGGGCCCGGGGCGCAUUACCUAGUUGGUAGGGUAAAGGCUUACCAAGGCAAUGAUGCGUAGCCGAACUGAGAGGUUGAUCGGCCACAUUGGGACUGAGACACGGCCCAAACUCCUACGGGAGGCAGCAGUAGGGAAUCUUCGACAAUGGGCGAAAGCCUGAUGGAGCAAAGCCGCGUGGGUGAAGAAGGUCUUCGGAUCGUAAAACCCUGUUGUUAGAGAAGAAAGUGCGUGAGAGUAACUGUUCACGUUUUGACGGUAUCUAACCAGAAAGCCACGGCUAACUACGUG